UUAGGCCGAAUCUGAACAGUAUCUACAACAGAAAGCAGAUCUUGGGUGCACAAGAACUUGGCUUUACUCCAGAUCCCUGCAUAUCACUGAGUCCACCGUGCUUUACAGAAGAGGAUAGAUUUAGUCUGGAAGCUCUUCAAACAAUACACAAACAAAUGGAUGAUGACAAAGAUGGUGGGAUUGAAGUAGAUGAAAGUGAUGAAUUUAUCAGAGAAGAUAUGAAAUAUAAAGAUGCUACUAAUAAACAUAGCCAUCUGCACAGAGAGGAUAAACAUAUCACUGUUGAGGAUUUAUGGAAACGAUGGAAAACAU